UCAGAUGUGAAUACCCUUGGCUCAACCAAGGAAGGGCAUUUGAAACUGUCUGGCUUGAGUACGGGAGGGGGAAGUGGAAUUCCCGGUGUAGAGGUGAAAUUCGUAGAUAUCGGGAGGAACACCGGUGGCGAAGGCGGCUUUCUGGACCGAUACUGACGCUGAGACGCGAAAGCGUGGGGAGCAAACAGGAUUAGAUACCCUGGUAGUCCACGCCUUAAACGUUGGGCACUAGGUGUUGUGGGUAUUGACCCCUGCAGUGCCAAGGGCGAAUUCCACAGUGGAUA
rnacentral:rRNA from 1 species